UUGCAAUGCUCCUUCUUGAAACCCAGCCACCAUGCUGUGAGGAAGCUCAAGCCACACAGAAGCCAUGGAGAGGUGCUCCUUCUGAUAACCCCUGCUAAAGUCCCACCCAGCAGCCAGCAACAAUCACUAGAUAUGUGAGUGGGAAAGCCUUUGAGAUGACCUCAGUCCCAGCACCAUCUAACCACAACCAGGGAAGGAUUCUGAGCAAGAACCACAUAGCUGAUCCCAGUUAAUUUCCAGAACAGUGAAAGAUAACAAUAAAUGAUUGCCAUUAGAAAUGAACACACAGCUAGGAGGCUGCAAGGGUGAGGUCGUUAUUGAUUCAUUGAUUCAACAUGUAUUUUGGAGCCCCUGCAAUAUACCACUCUCCAUGCCAGGCCCUAAGAAGAAGACAGAUGAGGCUUUUGCACUUGUACUCCAGCAUAGCAAACAGGUGAUAAGAAAACAAACCACUAGAGAGAGUGUCCCCAGUCACAAUUGGAGUCUUAUGUAAGAAGAAAUAAGGAAAGCCUACUGGGUUGAAUCUAAAAGUAGAAAACUCAUAACAAGGCUAUGUGUGAACAUCAAGAGAGAAUUCAAGAUGGCGGGGAUGACACUCUUUAGUCCAUGUGUGCCUGGUUUUCAUCAUCUCCUUGACUUACACACAUGUGGGUGCCUUUACCUCUGAAGACUUUUUCUCUUCUAACUGAUGAUGCUCCAUUCUCUUCUGACAAAAGCUCCCUGCCAAGGCCUGAUUGAACCUCUGCCCUGUGGUUCCUUGAAACAUCGUCAUAUUCUUGUACUAAAUUCCCCAUUUUCUUAAGCUAGCUCUGGUAAGUUUUUGCCAUUUACAGUCAAAGUGAACUCACUAAUAAAAUAUUCCCAACUGCA
rnacentral:lncRNA from 1 species